AAUAACGGCAACAGCAUAUAUUAUUGAAGUUUAACCUCAAAUAUGUGUCUUUUAUUUGCUCAGCUCAAAAAUUAAGUAGGAUUUCUAUCUUGUUGGAUAAAAAAAAUCGAUUUUUUUUACAUAUUCUUAAAGAUUGUACUUUCAAAAAAAAAAAAAUGUAAAAAUUUUAUGUCAAAGAGUAAAACUUCUCGAAGAGGAAGUUUUGGAAUACGACAGCAUAUUGCACAAAGUUCUCCUUAUAAAUUUAUUUAUGACCUGUAUUCAGAACACGCUUUAAUCAAUAAAAACACACUUUUAUCUCUACAAUUUUUAGUAAAUGUAAAUGCGUAACGUAAAUUGUAGCAUGUUAACGCGCUAACAUCGUUGAAUAUCCUUCAUCUUAUCCAUAUUAAUAAUCUUUUUCCUCAAUACGUUUAUCCGGCCAAAAAUCAAUUACAGAUACUUUAAGGAGACAAUCUUCAUAGGAACAAGUGCUCAUCAAGGCGGCGAGCAGAUAUUGAUGAGUAAACGGAUCCCAUUUUAAACGCCAGACUCCACCAUCGAGACAAAGUGUCGAUAUUGGCC